AGUGAACGCUGGCGGUAGGCCUAACACAUGCAAGUCGAACGGCAGCACAGUAAGAGCUUGCUCUUACGGGUGGCGAGUGGCGGACGGGUGAGGAAUACAUCGGAAUCUACUUUUUCGUGGGGGAUAACGUAGGGAAACUUACGCUAAUACCGCAUACGACCUACGGGUGAAAGCAUGGGAUCUUCGGACCUUGCGCGAUUGAAUGAGCCGAUGUCGGAUUAGAUAGUUGGCGGGGUAAAGGCCCACCAAGGCGACGAUCCGUAGCUGGUAUUAGAGGAUGAUCGGCCACACUGGAACUGAAACACGGUCCAGACUCCUACGGGAGGCAGCAGUGGGGAAUAUUGGACAAUGGGCGCAAGCCUGAUCCAGCCAUACCGCGUGGGUGAAGAAGGCCUUCGGGUUGUAAAGCCCUUUUGUUGGGAAAGAAAAGCAGCAGGUUAAUACCCCGCUGUUCUGACGGUACCCAAAGAAUAAGCACCGGCUAACUUCGUG
rnacentral:rRNA from 1 species